UGCUGGGAGGCGGGACACGGCGCGCGUUGCCACGUCUUCCGCGCACACCAUCACACUCACACUCACACACUCACUAUCCUACCUCACACCCUUCUUAGCUAUAAAUUUACACUAUCAGCGUUUACAGACGGCCAAGAAAACCACAUCGGAGUGCCCAAAGACUUUCUGGCCAAUGUGACAACCCGCCGGAGUAGCACCGUCGCGGAGGCCAGGCAGGGUCGGCUCUCAGCGACGCGGCUAUAAAUGAGAGCUGGAGUGGUCUAGUGUGUUGAAUUUUUAUUAAUUAUUUUGUUGUUCUAGAGCAGUGUGAGGAGGCGCCCGGCGGAGCAACACUCACAACACCGACACGAGAGGACGCAGUGCACACUUUCCUCCAGCCCAAGAGGAGGGAGGCAGGUGACGAAGGGAGAAGAGAGAGAGAAGCCCUCCUGAAGCCUUCACCACCAUCAUCACUUCCACCACCACCACACUGAAGCCAUAGAUUUAUAUAGUUACGUGAAAUAGUGGUGAUGCGUAUGCUGGGGACAGAGCUAACAGGCCCCUAUCUCAUUAUUCUGUCUGCCUGGAAGCACCUUAUGACUGACAGACAGACAGGGAUGAACCAUAACCUUCACCACCUCCAUAAUAAUAAUGAAAAUAAUAGCUGUUUUAACUCGCCCUGAGACUAAUAGAAAAACAGGAAUAUGAAAAAAGAGCAAAAUUAUUAAAUACAUUAUACAUUCAAACAUACAUACAUCGUCUAUUACAUUACUUGCCCAGAACUUUCUCAUUCAUCCAUACAUUUGUCUUUAUCUAUGUAUUCCUUUUUACUGGCUACACAUGCCUGUCAGCAGUCUAUGUAUCGUAUGUAUAGUUUAUGUAUGAAUAAGCUAUAUAUGCCCGCUUUGUCUGAUGUACUGUACGUAUGUAUGUCUAAUGUUCAUGUAUACAAAUAGUUAUGCUUUUAACUCACAAUUAUAUAGAUAUGUCUACAGCUUAUAUAUGAAUAGUUAAGUCUACAUCUACAGGCUAUGUAUGCCCGUUAGUGGCUGAUAAGUGUAUGUAUAAUGUCUAUGUAUAGGAAAUAGUUGUUUUUGUUUACUGGCUAUGUAUACCCGUUUGUAGAUUAUAUAACGUAUGCAUUCAGUUUAUGUAAGAAUAGUCGAGUGAGUUUGUUCGAUUUAUGUCUUUUUGUAGCCUCUAUAUAUACACAUCUUCUGUUUAUGUAUGAGUAGCUAAGCCUUAAUUUCUGAACGUAUGUAUAAACAUCAAUGUCCAUGUUCUGUGAUGAGCAUGUCUUACAGAAAUUAAACGUUCAAUAUUCUUCA